UAAGGAGUGAAAUGAGUUUUCUUUAUGGC
rnacentral:piRNA from 1 species